rnacentral:rRNA from 1 species
AACGCUGGCGGCGUGCUUAACACAUGCAAGUCGAACGGAACUUAUCGGAUCAAGACUUCGGUCAAGUGAAUUUAAGUUUAGUGGCGGACGGGUGAGUAACGCGUGAGGAACCUGCCUUUCAGUGGGGGACAACAGUUGGAAACGACUGCUAAUACCGCAUAAUGUUAUUGAGUGGCAUCACUUAAUAACCAAAGCUUUAUGUGCUGAAAGAUGGCCUCGCGUCUGAUUAGCUAGUUGGUGGGGUAACGGCCCACCAAGGCGACGAUCAGUAGCCGGUCUGAGAGGAUGAACGGCCACAUUGGGACUGAGAUACGGCCCAGACUCCUACGGGAGGCAGCAGUGGGGAAUAUUGGGCAAUGGGGGAAACCCUGACCCAGCAACGCCGCGUGAAGGAAGAAGGCCUUCGGGUUGUAAACUUCUUUUAGCAGGGACGAAGAAUGUGACGGUACCUGCAGAAAAAGCAACGGCUAACUACGUG